rfam:Red clover necrotic mosaic virus RNA-1, complete sequence.
GACAAACGUUUUACCGGUUUGUAAAUAGGAGCACACAAGCUCGCUAGUCGCCCCCUUCGUAUCGGGGAUCUAGAGAUUAAACGGUAUACCUGUCAUUUUAAAUUUCUACUUUUCGUACCAGUC